rnacentral:rRNA from 1 species
GAUGAACGCUAGCGGGAGGCUUAAUACAUGCAAGUCGAGCGAGAAGGUGGUCUUCGGACUGCUGGACAGCGGCGCACGGGUGAGUAACGCGUACGCAAUCUACCUUUCACAGAGGGAUAGCCCCGGGAAACUGGGAUUAAUACCUCAUGGUCUGAAACUAUCGCAUGAUAGUUUUAGUAAAGUUCCGACGGUGAGAGAUGAGCGUGCGUACUAUUAGGUAGUUGGUGAGGUAACGGCUCACCAAGCCGAUGAUAGUUAGGGGGCGUGAGAGCGUGAUCCCCCACACGGGUACUGAGACACGGACCCGACUCCUACGGGAGGCAGCAGUAAGGAAUAUUGGACAAUGGAGGCAACUCUGAUCCAGCCAUCCCGCGUGCAGGAUGACGGCGCUACGCGUUGUAAACUGCUUUUGUGUAAGAUGAAACGCAGGGAUUUAUCCUUGUUUGACGUUAUUACAAGAAUAAGCACCGGCUAACUCCG